CGAAGGGUGCAAGCGUUAAUCGGAAUUACUGGGCGUAAAGCGUGCGUAGGCGGUUGGUUAAGUCUGUCGUGAAAGCCCUGGGCUCAACCUGGGAAUGGCGAUGGAUACUGGCCAGCUAGAGUGUGAUAGAGGAUGGCGGAAUUCCCGGUGUAGCGGUGAAAUGCGUAGAGAUCGGGAGGAACAUCCGUGGCGAAGGCGGCCAUCUGGAUCAACACUGACGCUGAGGCACGAAAGCGUGGGGAGCAAACAGGAUUAGAUACCCUGGUAGUCCACGCCCUAAACGAUGCGAACUGGAUGUUGGUCUCAACUCGGAGAUCAGUGUCGAAGCUAACGCGUUAAGUUCGCCGCCUGGGGAGUACGGUCGCAAGACUG
rnacentral:rRNA from 1 species